GGGGGACGAUAACGGCGUCGAGCGGCGGACGGGUGAGUAAUGCCUAGGAAAUUGCCCUGAUGUGGGGGAUAACCAUUGGAAACGAUGGCUAAUACCGCAUGAUGCCUUCGGGUCAAAGAGGGGGACCUUCGGGCCUCUCGCGUCAGGAUAUGCCUAGGUGGGAUUAGCUAGUUGGUGAGGUAAGGGCUCACCAAGGCGACGAUCCCUAGCUGGUCUGAGAGGAUGAUCAGCCACACUGGA
rnacentral:rRNA from 1 species